GUGGGGAAUAUUGGACAAUGGGCGAAAGCCUGAUCCAGCCAUGCCGCGUGUGUGAAGAAGGUCUUCGGAUUGUAAAGCACUUUAAGUUGGGAGGAAGGGCAGUAAGUUAAUACCUUGCUGUUUUGACGUUACUCGCAGAAUAAGCACCGGCUAACUCUGUGCCAGCAGCCGCGGUAAUACAGAGGGUGCAAGCGUUAAUCGGAUUUACUGGGCGUAAAGCGCGCGUAGGUGGUUUUGUAAGUUGGAGGUGAAAUCCCCGGGCUCAACCUGGGAACUGCCUCCAAAACUGCAUGACUAGAGUACGGUAGAGGGUAGUGGAAUUUCCUGUGUAGCGGUGAAAUGCGUAGAUAUAGGAAGGAACACCAGUGGCGAAGGCGACUACCUGGACUGAUACUGACACUGAGGUGCGAAAGCGUGGGGAGCAAACAGGAUUAGAAACCCUUGUAGUCC
rnacentral:rRNA from 1 species